rnacentral:rRNA from 1 species
CUCCGGUUGAUCCUGCCGGACCCGACUGCUAUCGGAUUGGUACUAAGCCAUGCGAGUCAUUGUAGCAAUACAAGGCGGACGGCUCAGUAACACGUAGUCAACCUAACUCGUGGACGUGGAUAACCUCGGGAAACUGAGAAUAAACCACGAUAGACCAUAGUGCCUGGAAUGGCUUAUGGUCCAAACAGUUUACUGCCAUGGGAUGGGACUGCGGCCUAUCAGCUUGUUGGUGAGGUAAUGGCCCACCAAGGCGAUUACAGGUACGGGCUCUGAGGGGAGAAGCCCGGAGAUGGGUACUGAGACACGGACCCAGGCCCUAUGGGGCGCAGCAGGCGAGAAACCUUAGCAAUGUGCGAAAGCACGACUGGGUCAGUCCGAGUGAUUCCUGAUAAAGGAGUCUUUUGCUUGUCCUAAAAGCACAGGUGAAUAAGGGGUGGGCAAGUCUGGUGUCAGCCGCCGCGGUAAUACCAGCACCUCGAGUGGUCAGGACGUUUAUUGGGCCUAAAGCAUCCGUAGCCGGCUUUGCAAGUCUUCGGUUAAAUCCACCUGCUCAACAGAUGGGCUGCUGGAGAUACUACAAAGCUAGGGAGUGGGAGAGGCAGACGGUAUUCAGUGGGUAGGGGUAAAAUCCUCUGAUCCAUUGAGGACCACCAGUGGCGAAGGCGGUCUGCCAGAACACGUUCGACGGUGAGGGAUGAAAGCUGGGGGAGCAAACCGGAUUAGAUACCCGGGUAGUCCCAGCUGUAAACGAUGCAAACUCGGUGAUGCAUUGGCUUAUGGCCAAUGCAGUGCCGCAGGGAAGCCGUUAAGUUUGCCGCCUGGGAAGUACGGACGCAAGUCUGAAACUUAAAGGAAUUGGCGGGGGAGCA